AUCCUGGACGAGCCCCCAAAUGAAAGAUCCUCAAAGAGAGACCCUUUCUAAAGUCACGGGAAAUCACGGACCCCAGACACAGAGAGACCA
rnacentral:miRNA from 14 species